rnacentral:rRNA from 1 species
GACGAACGCUGGCGGCGCGCUUAACACAUGCAAGUCGAACGGAAAGGCCUGCUUUCCCUUGUGGAUUGCGGGUACUCGAGUGGCGAACGGGUGAGUAACACGUGAGUGAUCUGCCCCCAACUUGGGUAUAAGCCUGGGAAACUGGGUCUAAUUCCCGAUAGGACUGCAGGGUGGUGCCUGUGGUGGAAAACGAUUUUCUAGUGGUUGGGGAUGAGCUCGCGGCCUAUCAGCUUGUUGGUGGGGCAAUGGCCUACCAAGGCGGCGACGGGUAGCCGGCCUGGGAGGGUGGACGGGCGCAUUGGGACUGAGAUACGGCCCAGACUCCUACGAGAGGCAGCAGUGGGGAAUAAGGCAGAGUGGGCGGAAGCCUGAUGCAGCGACGCCGCGUGGGGGAUGACGGGCUUCGGGUUGUAAACUCCUUUCGACCGCGAGGAAGCCACCUGGUUGGAAGGGUGGUGACGGUAGUGGUAGAAGAAGCACCGGCUAACUACGUG